ACGGGUGAGUAACGCGUGGGAACAUACCCCUCGGUUCGGAAUAACUCAGGGAAACUUGAGCUAAUACCGGAUACGUCCAAGGUUUAAUCGACCUUGGAGAAAGAUUUAUCGCCGGAGGAUUGGCCCGCGUCUGAUUAGCUUGUUGGUGAGGUAAUGGCUCACCAAGGCGACGAUCAGUAGCUGGUCUGAGAGGAUGAUCAGCCACAUUGGGACUGAGACACGGCCCAA
rnacentral:rRNA from 1 species